rnacentral:rRNA from 2 species
GUGAGACAGGUGCUGCAUGGCUGUCGUCAGCUCGUGUUGUGAAAUGUUGGGUUAAGUCCCGCAACGAGCGCAACCCUUAUCCUUUGUUGCCAGCGGUUAGGCCGGGAACUCAAAGGAGACUGCCAGUGAUAAACUGGAGGAAGGUGGGGAUGACGUCAAGUCAUCAUGGCCCUUACGACCAGGGCUACACACGUGCUACAAUGGCGCAUACAAAGAGAAGCGACCUCGCGAGAGCAAGCGGACCUCAUAAAGUGCGUCGUAGUCCGGAUUGGAGUCUGCAACUCGACUCCAUGAAGUCGGAAUCGCUAGUAAUCGUGGAUCAGAAUGCCACGGUGAAUACGUUCCCGGGCCUUGUACACACCGCCCGUCACACCAUGGGAGUGGGUUGCAAAAGAAGUAGGUAGCUUAACCUUCGGGAGGGCGCUUACCACUUUGUGAUUCAUGACUGGGGUGAAGUCGUAACAAGGUAACCGUAGGGGAACCUGCGGUUGGAUCACCUCCUUACCUGAAAGAAGC